rnacentral:rRNA from 1 species
GUGGGGAAUAUUGGACAAUGGGCGAAAGCCUGAUCCAGCCAUGCCGCGUGUGUGAAGAAGGUCUUCGGAUUGUAAAGCACUUUAAGUUGGGAGGAAGGGUAGUAACCUAAUACGUUGCUACUUUGACGUUACCGACAGAAUAAGCACCGGCUAACUUCGUGCCAGCAGCCGCGGUAAUACGAAGGGUGCAAGCGUUAAUCGGAAUUACUGGGCGUAAAGCGCGCGUAGGUGGUUCAGUAAGUUGGAAGUGAAAUCCCCGGGCUCAACCUGGGAACUGCUUUCAAAACUGCUGAGCUAGAGUACGGUAGAGGGUGGUGGAAUUUCCGGUGUAGCGGUGAAAUGCGUAGAUAUAGGAAGGAACACCAGUGGCGAAGGCGACUACCUGGACUGAUACUGACACUGAGGUGCGAAAGCGUGGGGAGCAAACAGGAUUAGAUACCCUUGUAGUCC